AACGAACGCUGGCGGCAUGCCUAACACAUGCAAGUCGAACGAGACCUUCGGGUCUAGUGGCGCACGGGUGCGUAACGCGUGGGAAUCUGCCCUUGGGUUCGGAAUAACAGUUAGAAAUGACUGCUAAUACCGGAUGAUGACUUCGGUCCAAAGAUUUAUCGCCCAGGGAUGAGCCCGCGUAGGAUUAGCUUGUUGGUGAGGUAAAAGCUCACCAAGGGGACGAUCCUUAGCUGGUCUGAGAGGAGGACCAGACACACUGGGACUGAGAAACGGCCCAGACUCCUACGGGAGGCAGCAGUGGGGAAUAUUGGCAAAUGGGCGAAAGCCUGAUCCAGCAAUGCCGCGUGAGUGAUGAAGGCCUUAGGGUUGUAAAGCUCUUUUACCCGGGAUGAUAAUGACAGUACCGGGAGAAUAAGCCCCGGCUAACUCCGUGCCAGCCGCCGCCGUAACAC
rnacentral:rRNA from 1 species